UACGUAGGGGGCUAGCGUUGUCCGGAUUUAUUGGGCGUAAAGAGCGUGUAGGCGGCCAAGUAGGUCCGGUGUGAAAACUCGAGGCUUAACCUCGAGAUGUCAUCGGAAACCAUUUGGCUAGAGUCCGGAAGAGGAAAGUGGAAUUCCUGGUGUAGCGGUGAAAUGCGCAGAUAUCAGGAGGAACACCGGUGGCGAAGGCGGUUCUCUGGGCAUGAUCUGACGCUGAGGAGCGAAAGUGUGGGGAGCGAGCAGG
rnacentral:rRNA from 1 species